CAGAGGUGCUGCACACUCAGUACGGAGAGCGCGACUUGUACCAGUGAAGGUACCCCAGCAGCUAGAAACAGAACAGUCUUGCCCACUUCUCUACUUCACCUACACGUCUGCUCCUUCUAUUCGUUAUCAAACCCUUCACCCCCUCUAACGAGGUUUUCGUGAUCAAUGCACAUGCUCCUUAUCCCCACACCUUGGCUUGUGUCUCUCCUCCCCCAUCUGCCCGUCUCUCACCCCGCAGGAGGCAUGUGCACGUAACUUGCUGCAAGCCCUUUGCCCGCCCUUUGGGGCCCCCUCGUUUCCAUCAUGCCAGCGUGCUCGGCGCUCCCGUUACCUGCCUCUUAGGUCAAUGACCACCUUGUUUUCAAGGUGGGUUCAGAGGCAGGGCUCUCAGCUGCGACCUGCUCAAGGGCCUUGGUUUUACUGAUAGACAGACAGACCGACCUGGACUGGCGUUAUGGUGCUGAGCUCACAGCUGACCCGUACCUUGGUCUGCGGGGCCCCUGUUCCCUUCUUUUCAGACUGGAAUUCCCCAAGGCUAUUUCAUUUCAGAGCUGAAACCCAGUGGAUCCAGCAGCACUAGCUCCUGGUUUCCAUUUCUCCUCUUCUCGCUGCUCUAUGCUCACUUCUCGCACUAUUUAUAACCCACAAAAGGACCAUUUUAUGGAACAGCAGGUGCCUUGGCAGGGCUCGGAGCCUGUUAUACUGCAUCUGGCCAUGCCUCCCCGUCCCCCGAAGUGACAGUAAUUAGCAGAGUGGCUGGCUCUGGCUGACAGAUCCGGAGCGUGUGCUGGAGCCAUUACAGAGCAGAUCUGAAGAGACUCGCUGGCCGGUGUCAACAGGGAGUGUCCCACCUGCCACAGCAGGGAUGGACUCCAAUCUGAGCAGGCAAUUAAUGCUGGAUCUGCAGAUAAUGAGCUACUGGGGUUCUCACUCUCUCAGGAGCAGCGGAGUCCUAGGCAAUGAACCAGGGAGGAUGAAUGAGGAGUCAGAGAGUGCCAAAGAUCAAGUCAUCAUAAUAUCAUCAAAUCUGGGAUACUCCAGAGGGAUCCACAUCCAAAGACAGAGGCGCAGAGCAAACGUGACGCAGGCCAGCUCAGAAGGGAUAAGAAGCAAGCCGCAGAAAAUGGACUGGAAUCAACAAUUGUCAAGAACAAUUACCUUGGAGAAGGGCAGAUGGGACUGCGCAGAUCAGUAAGAGCUAGAUAUGAAUGACUAGGGACUACAGUGGGUCACUAGGGAUUAGCAGACAAAAGAUGGUAAUAAAACCUAGAGAGGGAAGGAAGAAAGAAAAUGUAUUAAAGGUAGGAGGAGGAAUUGGAAAUAUGUCUGGCUGGUGAGUCUUGCUUGGGGUCUCCAGAUUUGGGGUCUGUAAGGAAUUCUGCCCCCGGUCAGACUGGCAGGAGACUUUAUGGGGGGGGUGCCUUCCUCUGCAGCAUGGUGUUUGGGUGAACUACUGAUA